AUCUGGUUAGCUCAGUUGCUAGAGUGCUUUAUGGGCAAUGGAGAGCUUCCUGGUUUGAUACCAGGACCAGACG
rnacentral:tRNA from 1 species